rnacentral:rRNA from 1 species
CCGNAUACGCCCUACGGGGGAAAAAUUUAUUGCUAUUAGAUGAGCCUAUAUUAGAUUAGUUAGUUGGUGAGGUAAAGGCUUACCAAGACAAUGAUCUAUAGCUGAUCUGAGAGGAUGAUCAGCCACACUGGAACUGAGAUACGGUCCAGACUCCUACGGGAGGCAGCAGUGGGGAAUAUUGGACAAUGGGCGAAAGCCUGAUCCAGCCAUGCCGCAUGAGUGAAGAAGGCCUUCGGGUUGUAAAGCUCUUUUAGUGAGGAAGAUAAUGACGGUACUCACAGAAGAAGUCCUGGCUAACUCCGUGCCAGCAGCCGCGGUAAUACGGAGAGGGCUAGCGUUAUUCGGAAUCAUUGGGCGUAAAGGGCGCGUAGGCGGGUUAGUAAGUUAAAAGUGAAAUCCCAAGGCUCAACCUUGGAACUGCUUUUAAAACUGCUAGUCUAGAGAUUGAAAGAGGAUAGAGGAAUUCCUAGUGUAGAGAUGAAAUUCGUAAAUAUUAGGAGGAACACCAGUGGCGAAGGCGUCUAUCUGGUUCAAAUCUGACGCUGAGGCGCGAAGGCGUGGGGAGCAAACAGGAUUAGAUACCCUGGUAGUCCACGCUGUAAACGAUGAAUGUUAAAUAUGGGAAGUUUACUUUCUGUAUUAUAGCUAACGCGUUAAACAUUCCGCCUGGGGACUACGGUCGCAAGANUAAAACUCAAAGGAAUUGACGGGGNNCCGCACAAGC